rnacentral:piRNA from 1 species
UUGUGCAUUUUCAUUUUUAUA